GACGAACGCUGGCGGCGUGCUUAACACAUGCAAGUCGAACGGAAAGGCCCUGCUUGCAGGGUACUCGAGUGGCGAACGGGUGAGUAACACGUGGGUGAUCUGCCCUGCACUUCGGGAUAAGCCUGGGAAACUGGGUCUAAUACCGGAUAGGAGCCAUUUUUAGUGUGAUGGUUGGAAAGUUUUUUCGGUGUAGGAUGAGCUCGCGGCCUAUCAGCUUGUUGGUGGGGUAAUGGCCUACCAAGGCGGCGACGGGUAGCCGGCCUGAGAGGGUGGACGGCCACAUUGGGACUGAGAUACGGCCCAGACUCCUACGGGAGGCAGCAGUGAGGAAUAUUGCACAAUGGGCGCAAGCCUGAUGCAGCGACGCCGCGUGGGGGAUGACGGCCUUCGGGUUGUAAACUCCUUUCGCUAGGGACGAAGCUUUUUGUGACGGUACCUAGAUAAGAAGCACCGGCUAACUACGUG
rnacentral:rRNA from 1 species